rfam:Brassica napus, WGS project CCCW01000000 data, contig: 27143
GGAAUAUAAGAACCCGUCUCUUAACUUUUAACUAAAAAAACUAAGAAGCUCUUCUUAAAUAAGAGUUUUAAGAGACGGCUCUUAGUUUUUUUAGUUAAAAGUUAAGAGACGGGUUCUUAUAUUCC